CUAUUCUUUUACUGUUUGUACUUCAUAAAGAGAGAAUGUGAGGUCCGCUAGAGCUUCCUAUUUCUUUAGAAGUUCAUCUGUGCUCUCCUUUGACCCCAAAGCCCUAUCUUUAUGGCUACCUGUAACAAAAGUAUUGGGUGCUGACAGAAAAGUGUUAAAGUAUUUAAAAACAAAAUGCUGAUGUGUCAUUCAAGUUAACAAACCCCAUGUGAGUCUCAGGAAGUGAUAUUUGAAUCUGAUGUUUUUACUCUUGUUUUUCUUUUCAUGUUACUUAAUGAUUCUCUUCUGGCUCGGAAUAAACAUCCCUAGCCCCAACCAGUGCCCAAUGAGACCCUCCUGGAAGGACAUUAUGUGACACCCCUGGAGGACCCUGUCUUUCUAUACCAGUGAACAGUCUUCAGUUCUUUCUGCUCCUGUUGACUACUUGUUACCAGCCUGAGAACUCCGUUUAACUUAACGGGAAGGAACCCGGCCUGUCUGCACUUGGAGGUCCGUCUCAAGCUUUCUUCUGUUAUGAUCAGUGCCUUCUGCUGAUCCUGGAGAACCUCCUCUCGUAUUUUUAGGUGUUUUGUUCAUUAUGUUUACUUUUUUGGAACUAUGUAAGCCUGACCACAAAUAAAACAUUGUUGCCUAAA